ACACACUUCCUUCUGCUGCAGUGGCGUGAGGUACUGCUCAGGAGCUGGAGGACGAAUGCCAUGAUUCUCACCACAGGAUGAUGCUGAGUAACUGCUGCGCACAGACGAGUCCCCGUGUGUGUGCCGAGUGCCGCUCGGGGCUGCAGGCCUUCUGUCACACACACAUAAAUACACACAGAAGACAGCUGAGCUCUGACGUCCGUAUCAAACACACUGUCACACUGCAAAACUGGAUGUGCUUUGAAGGAAUUCACUUUACUGGCACUGAGCAAGUCAAUCUCAGCAUUAUUAUUUAAAAAAACAAAAGGUUUAGCAUUACCUGCGGGAUCCUGCAGAUGGCCGGCGGGUCGCUGGGAGGGACAUGGAUGCAGAAGGACACCUUUUAAAGGAUUAUUACAAGGAUUCCUCAGGAGAGAUCUCUCUAGG
ensembl:processed_transcript